rnacentral:rRNA from 1 species
GACGGACGCUGGCGGUGUGCUUAACACAUGCAAGUCGAACGGUAAGGCCCUUUCGGGGGUACACGAGUGGCGCACGGGUGAGUAACACGUGAGUAACCUGCCCUCAUCUCUGGGAUAACAGUCGGAAACGGUUGCUAAUACUGGAUAUGAGCUUGCAAGGCAUCUUGUGGGUUGGAAAGAUUUUUUUGGUUGGAGAUGGACUCGCGGCCUAUCAGCUUGUUGGUGAGGUAGUGGCUCACCAAGGCUUCGACGGGUAGCCGGCCUGAGAGGGCGACCGGCCACAUUGGGACUGAGAUACGGCCCAAACUCCUACGGGAGGCAGCAGUGGGGAAUAUUGCACAAUGGACGGAAGUCUGAUGCAGCAACGCCGCGUGCGGGAUGACGGCCUUCGGGUUGUAAACCGCUUUCAAUUGUGACGAAGCUUUUUGUGACGGUAGCAGUAGAAGAAGCACCGGCUAACUACGUG